rnacentral:rRNA from 1 species
GAUGAACGCUGGCGGCGUGCCUAAUACAUGCAAGUCGAGCGAACAGACGAGGAGCUUGCUCCUCUGACGUUAGCGGCGGACGGGUGAGUAACACGUGGAUAACCUACCUAUAAGACUGGGAUAACUUCGGGAAACCGGAGCUAAUACCGGAUAAUAUAUUGAACCGCAUGGUUCAAUAGUGAAAGACGGUUUUGCUGUCACUUAUAGAUGGAUCCGCGCCGCAUUAGCUAGUUGGUAAGGUAACGGCUUACCAAGGCAACGAUGCGUAGCCGACCUGAGAGGGUGAUCGGCCACACUGGAACUGAGACACGGUCCAGACUCCUACGGGAGGCAGCAGUAGGGAAUCUUCCGCAAUGGGCGAAAGCCUGACGGAGCAACGCCGCGUGAGUGAUGAAGGUCUUCGGAUCGUAAAACUCUGUUAUUAGGGUAGAACAAAUGUGUAAGUAACUAUGCACGUCUUGACGGUACCUAAUCAGAAAGCCACAGCUAACUACGUG